rnacentral:rRNA from 1 species
GACGAACGCUGGCGGCGUGCUUAACACAUGCAAGUCGAACGGAAAGGCCUGUCCUUCCUUGUGUUGGACGGGUACUCGAGUGGCGAACGGGUGAGUAACACGUGAGUGAUCUGCCCCCAACUUGGGUAUAAGCCUGGGAAACUGGGUCUAAUUCCCGAUAGGACUGCAGGGUGGUGCCUGUGGUGGAAAACGAUUUUCUAGUGGUUGGGGAUGAGCUCGCGGCCUAUCAGCUUGUUGGUGGGGUAAUGGCCUACCAAGGCGGCGACGGGUAGCCGGCCUGGGAGGGUGGACGGCCACAUUGGGACUGAGAUACGGCCCAGACUCCUACGGGAGGCAGCAGUGGGGAAUAUUGCACAAUGGGCGGAAGCCUGAUGCAGCGACGCAGCGUGGGGGAUGACGGCCUUCGGGUUGUAAACUCCUUUCGACCGCGAGGAAGCCGCCUGGUUGGAAGGGUGGUGACGGUAGUGGUAGAAGAAGCACUGGCUAACUACGUG